UCCGGUUUGUCACCGGCAGUCUCGUAUGAGUCCCCAACUAAAUGCUGGCAACAUACGACGGGGGUUGCGCUCGUUGCGGGACUUAACCCAACAUCUCACGACACGAGCUGACGACAGCCAUGCACCACCUGUGAUAGUGCCCCGAAGGGAAGCCAUGUUUCCAUGGCGGCCACUAACAUGUCAAACCCAGGUAAGGCUCUUCGCGUUGCGUCGAAUUAAGCCACAUACUCCACCGCUUGUGCAGGCCCCCGUCAAUUUCUUUGAGUUUUAAUCUUGCGACCGUACUCCCCAGGCGGCGCAUUUAUCGCGUUAGCUUCGCCACAGAAGGGGUCGAUUCCUCCUACAGCAAAUGCGCACCGUUUAGGGCCGGGACUAC
rnacentral:misc_RNA from 1 species